ensembl:lncRNA
GUUUGUCUUUUUUAUAUUAAUUGGAAGCUUCUUAAAUUAUAUGUUCACAGUGUUUAUUUAUGGUUGGCCCUAAAACAACACAUUAAAGUUGAUUGCGCAGUAAGUGAUGUAGUCAAUAGAUACAGGUCAUAGGUUAAACUAAUCUCCACAAUGGAGAGGUGCACUCACAAAAGGCCCCAUAAUAGAAUUACACAGAGCCGGGUCAUGGGAUUUAUUUAACUACACUCCAAAGAUUAGAAGCUUUUUAAGAUCCUCAAAGUUUAGAGUAAAACCUAGGAUUUUUGGCACUGACAAAUACCCACAAACGGUUCUUACACAAAUCCAAAUAUUAAUUGGAAAAUACCUUAGUUUGUUGGGGCUUACAGAAGAAAUGAACGGUCCAACCAAUCAGAUUCAUUUUACAGCAGGCACUUGAUGGAAAAAUGGAAGAAGCUCCUCAAUUGUAAGGUAAGAUUUCUCCUCAUUCUCCUUUCAUUCUCUAUAUUUCUAUUGUUCUACGAUGACAUUGUAAUUUGACAAGUGGCUGUGUAAUUUGACAUUUUUCUCCUCAUUCUAAAGCAAAAAAAGGACAGUUUGUGGAUAUUAAAAGUUCAACAUAUAAUAAAAUGCUAAAGGCUAGCUGCAUUGGACACAGAUGACUGAACUGCUCAAUCGUGUGUCUGUGUAUGCAGGUUUACUAAAAAGGAGGCACACAAAGUUUUGUAUAAUGUAAUUGGUUUGCCUAAUAAAAUGGUGUGCAGAUGACAUUUUGGUUAAGGGUUUCUCUACAGCUCUACACAAGUUUUAGCCAGAGCAGUCAUCUUCCUACGCCUUCUUCUCAAUCCCAGGAGCCGAAUGAAUCCUCCCUACUCUAACAGGGAACCUUUCAAAUGCACAGCAAAACCACUCUGGUUAUGGAUACAGAAGACAUUAACAUCUCAACAUAAACACAACAGAAUACACAUCUAUGAAUCUUGGGGCUCUGACGGGUGUUUAUUUAUAUCUAAGUCUACUUUGCUGCUAAAAUUAUACUACACAUCUUUAUAUUGUCCUACUGAUUAAUUUAAAGAAUUAAUAGCCCCUUUCUUUUUAGAUUAUACAUGAGUCAACACGCAGACAUAAAAUGAUAUAAUAACAACAGACUCACUGAGGGUUUGUUCUUCUGGAAGUGAGGAUUAACUCAUUCAAAUCUACAGUGCGGAGAACAAGUAUUGGAUAACCUGCAAAAUCGGCAGUGUUUCUUACUUACAAAGGAUGUAGAGGUCUGUCAUUUUUAUUAUAGGUACAC